GUGCGCGGCAGUGCAGCUUGCAUGCCUGCAGGUCGACGAUUCAGAGUUUGAUCCUGGCUCAGGAUGAACGCUGGCGGCGUGCUUAACACAUGCAAGUCGAACGGUGAACACGGAGCUUGCUCUGUGGGAUCAGUGGCGAACGGGUGAGUAACACGUGAGCAACCUGCCCCUGACUCUGGGAUAAGCGCUGGAAACGGCGUCUAAUACUGGAUACGAGUAGCGACCGCAUGGUCAGUUACUGGAAAGAUUUAUUGGUUGGGGAUGGGCUCGCGGCCUAUCAGCUUGUUGGUGAGGUAAUGGCUCACCAAGGCGUCGACGGGUAGCCGGCCUGAGAGGGUGACCGGCCACACUGGGACUGAGACACGGCCCAGACUCCUACGGGAGGCAGCAGUGGGGAAUAUUGCACAAUGGGCGCAAGCCUGAUGCAGCAACGCCGCGUGAGGGAUGACGGCCUUCGGGUUGUAAACCUCUUUUAGCAGGGAAGAAGCGAAAGUGACGGUACCUGCAGAAAAAGCGCCGGCUAACUACGUGCCAGCAGCCGCGGUAAUACGUAGGGCGCAAGCGUUAUCCGGAAUUAUUGGGCGUAAAGAGCUCGUAGGCGGUUUGUCGCGUCUGCUGUGAAAUCCGGAGGCUCAACCUCCGGCCUGCAGUGGGUACGGGCAGACUAGAGUGCGGUAGGGGAGAUUGGAAUUCCUGGUGUAGCGGUGGAAUGCGCAGAUAUCAGGAGGAACACCGAUGGCGAAGGCAGAUCUCUGGGCCGUAACUGACGCUGAGGAGCGAAAGGGUGGGGAGCAAACAGGCUUAGAUACCCUGGUAGUCCACCCCGUAAACGUUGGGAACUAGUUGUGGGGUCCAUUCCACGGAUUCCGUGACGCAGCUAACGCAUUAAGUUCCCCGCCUGGGGAGUACGGCCGCAAGGCUAAAACUCAAGGAAUUGACGGGGACCCGCACAAGCGGCGGAGCAUGCGGAUUAAUUCGAUGCACGCGAAGAACCUUACCAG
rnacentral:rRNA from 1 species